rnacentral:lncRNA from 1 species
GGACAUCACAGCAACUCCUGGAUGUGUGAAGAAUGUACCUAUUUUUAACAUGCUGGAUCAAAUGUCAGCACUGGAUAGGACAUGAGGAAGGGGGAAGGGGCAGACUUGUACAGAUUCUGUGGAUAGUAAAGGGAUCACUGGUGUGUUUACAAUACAGCUAUGCAUUCUUAAUGGCUCUGCCGCUGCCAUGUCAGGGUCUCUAAUGAUCUUACUUGGAGUAAAGGACAGCUUUCAUUUAUUUUGCUUGAGGAGAGAACUGCAAAUCACAGGAAAUGAGUUUGCCAGAAACGUGCAGCACCCCUCACCCCAAGGGAGAGUGAAGCUGAAAUUGUUUGAAGAGUUCUGGGAUGCUGUCAGCGUAAGUCCAAAGAACCCUGGGUAAAUCAGGCAUGGUUGGUAAACCUUUAUCCUAGAUUAAUGCACUUUGGCCUUCUCAAUCCAAAGUGGCUAAGUGGAUCAGAAGUGGCCACCAAGGAUACCCCUUGUGGUGACAUGCACUACUGGCAAACUUGAGUUGAGGGAGCUAAAAAUUAAACCAUGAUUCUUUAUGUAUCACAAGGUAGUGGAAUCUCCUAGGUUUAAUUUUUUUAUCCUGAGCAUGAAAAGAGUGAUGUGAUGGCCCU